rnacentral:rRNA from 1 species
AACGAACGCUGGCGGCAUGCCUAACACAUGCAAGUCGAACGAGACCUUCGGGUCUAGUGGCGCACGGGUGCGUAACGCGUGGGAACCUGCCCUUAGGUUCGGAAUAAUUCCCCGAAAGGGGUGCUAAUACCGGAUAAUGUCUUCGGACCAAAGAUUUAUCGCCUUUGGAUGGGCCCGCGUUGGAUUAGCCAGUUGGUAGGGUAAAAGCCUACCAAGGCGACGAUCCAUAGCUGGUCUGAGAGGAUGAUCAGCCACACUGGGACUGAGACACGGCCCAGACUCCUACGGGAGGCAGCAGUGGGGAAUAUUGGACAAUGGGCGAAAGCCUGAUCCAGCAAUGCCGCGUGAGUGAUGACGGCCUUAGGGUAGUAAAGCUCUUUUACCCGGGAUGAUAAUGACAGUACCGGGAGAAUAAGCUCCGGCUAACUCCGUG